UGGCCAUGGCAGCGGCUGUGACCGACGAAGCUCAGCGAGCCAAUCAGUAAGCUCCCAGUUCAACCAUCCAUCCAGGGAGGGGUCUGAGGAAAAGAUCAGUGAAUCAUGUCAUUGUGUCAUACCGUGACGUGUGACUGGGGGAAAAGAAAGAAAAAAACUGGUAUAAAACAACCAGCGGCGUGUGGCGAGGUUCAUGGCAGGAUCGAUGCACAGAUCGAUGGAACAGUGAUCGCAAUCAACACGAUGGACCCCGAUCGACCACCGGUGUUGGAGAACAGUAGAGGGCGCUCACACUCUUGACUAUUAUGGGAUAGUCAUGUUCGUUACUCAGACAACCGGUGAAAUGGCUGCAAAAAACAAGGUUUCUGCAAAAAAAAUGAAUCUGGGUGGUGGUGCUGUGGCUGAGGCAGAUUACAGACCUCCGAGGUCCAAACCCUGGGAGGAGACCUGCAGCACCACAGGCUAUAGAAAGACUGCACGACCACAGGCCUGUCAUCAACAUGCAGACGGAGGAGAGCGGUGCACGGCCUGUGGAUGACGACCAGGCAGAAAAGCUGAGAGAAGCUUCUUUAUUUUUUACCAUCAGAUUAUAAUACAUGACAGAACAACAUACACUGACUUUUAUUUCUAUAGUUAAUAAUAUAUAAGACAGACAUUUAUCAAAAUUAUAAUAAUCUGUAGGGGUGUGUAUUGACAAAAAUCUGACGUAUGACGAUACGGGCCACAAUACGAUAUACUGCUCCUCUAAUAAUCUGUAACAUUACUAUUGAGGCUACAGAUUUCCUUAGAAAAAUACUACCUCUCCAACAGUUAACAGUCAGAUGACUGCGUAUCAUCAGUGUCGACUCACAGUCUCUGACGCUGGUGGACUUUGAACUUGUUCCAUCAAGUCCCAUCUCUCAGAUCACUAUUUCCUUAUUAUUGACUGUUAAAGAAACCAAACUUUGAACAAACGCUCAGGAAACACCUGAUAAGAACAGAAGACAGUCGACCGCCUGUCUCACUGUAGUUGAAUCAACACGAUCACUACAGGUCACAGUGAUCUGUUCCACAGUGAUCACCUUAUCUUGACGUGUGAAUCAGCACCAAAGGCUACGUGUCUAUGGAGAUUCUAUCAAUCGCGGCAUCGAACCUCACUCUGGACUGCUUCGAGCCCCGCGGACCCUAGCUUUCACAAGUAUGUGCAGUGACGGACGCCUGAGCUCUUUUUUGUUUUGCAACGAUCAGAUCUGCACAUGAAUGCUGAUCACGUCCUUCAAACCCAAGUGGGGGCGACGAAGGGGCAUCAAGCAGCUGAGUAAGAGGAGGCUGCAUAUUCAUGAAGACGGACACGAGACACUUCUCUAAAAAAAGAA